UACGGGGGGGGCAAGCGUUGUUCGGAAUUACUGGGCGUAAAGGGCUCGUAGGCGGCCAACUAAGUCGGACGUGAAAUCCCUCAGCUUAACUGGGGAACUGCGUCCGAUACUGGAUGGCUUGGAUUUGGGAGAGGGAUGCGGAAUUCCAGGUGUAGCGGUGAAAUGCGUGAGAUAUCUGGAGGAACACCGGUGGCGAAGGCGGCAUCCUGGACCAAUAUUGACGCUGAGGAGCGAAAACCAGGGGAGCAAACGGG
rnacentral:rRNA from 1 species